CAGGAUUCCCCUAGUAACGGCGAGUGAAGCGGGAAAAGCUCAAAUUUGAAAUCUGGCGGUCUACGGCCGUCCGAGUUGUAGUCUAGAGAGGUGUCUUCUGCGUCGGACCAUGCACAAGUCCCUUGGAACAGGGCGUCAUAGAGGGUGAGAAUCCCGUCCGUGGCAUGGACUCCCGGUGCUUUGUGAUGCGCCUUCGAAGAGUCGAGUUGUUUGGGAAUGCAGCUCAAAAUGGGUGGUAAAUUCCAUCUAANGCUAAAUACAGGCGAGAGACCGAUAGCGAACAAGUACCGUGAGGGAAAGAUGAAAAGCACUUUGGAAAGAGAGUUAAACAGUACGUGAAAUUGUUGAAAGGGAAACGCUUGGAGUCAGUCGCGUUUGCCGGGACUCAGCCUUGCUUCUGCUUGGUGCACUUCCUGGUACACGGGCCAGCAUCGAUUUUGAUCGCCGGAAAAAGGCUUGGGGAAGGUGGCACCUUCGGGUGUGUUAUAGCCCCUUGUUGUAUACGGUGGUUGGGAUUGAGGACCGCAGCACGCCUUUUGGUCGGGGUUCGCCCACGCCACGUGCUUAGGAUGCUGGCGUAAUGGCUUUAAACGACCCGUCUUGAAACACGGACCAAGGAGUCUAACAUGCCUGCGAGUGUUUGGGUGUAAAACCCAGGCGCGUAAUGAAAGUGAAAGGUUGGGACUCUUCGCUGAGGCACCGACGCCCGAUCCUGACGUUCUCUGACGGAUUUGAGGUAGAGCAUGUAUGUUGGGACCCGAAAGAUGGUGAACUAUGCCUGAAUAGGGCGAAGCCAGAGGAAACUCUGGUGGAGGCUCGUAGCGAUUCUGACGUGCAAAUCGAUCGUCAAUUUGGGUAUAGGGGCGAAAGACUAAUCGAACCAUCUAGUAGCUGGGUUCCUGCCGAAGUUU
rnacentral:rRNA from 1 species